rnacentral:rRNA from 1 species
CGGACGGGUGAGUAACACGUGAGCAACCUGCCUUCGAGAGGGGAAUAACGGCUGGAAACGGUCGCUAAUACCGCAUAACAUACCGGGAGGACAUCCUGCUGGUAUCAAAGAUUUAUCGCUCGAAGAUGGGCUCGCGUCCGAUUAGGUAGUUGGUGAGGUAACGGCUCACCAAGCCGACGAUCGGUAGCCGGACUGAGAGGUUGAACGGCCACAUUGGGACUGAGACACGGCCCAGACUCCUACGGAAGGCAGCAG